AUGAGGCGGCCUGCGGCAAGUGUCUCUGUAGGAUCGAAGCUACAGUCCGUGGCAAAGAAGUCCAAAGAGAUGAUACACUUUUCUAGAGAUCAGCUGAUGGGGUCAGCAUUUGUUGCAUUUGGCAUCAUAUUAUUUGUGGGUUUCUUCUAUGCCGCUGUUGUGUCCAAAAUGCUCCCGCCUUAUGAGAACUGGCUUCUAGCUGCCAUCCAAAAUGACAGGUAUUACUGCCUACUUGUGCCCUUGACACUUCCUGUGAUAAUUGUGGCUGUCUAUCUGCAUUGGCUAAGCAUGAAGAUGUUCAAGCAUGCCUGA
rnacentral:rRNA from 1 species